rnacentral:lncRNA from 1 species
AUUGACAUUACUUUAUGAUGUUAGGUUUUUGUCAAGGUUAGGAUGCUCAUGUUGGAUAGAACUCCCUGUUCAAGUCAUUCAAAGCUUUAAAGCUCUAUCAAUGUCAAUAUGUUCCAGCUGUAAAACAAGGUAGUCACAUCAAGUGAGAAGUUUGAUAGGCUGGCUUCUGGGAAAAUACAUCUGCUGCUUCAAAUGAUAUAAAGGUAUUAAAUGCCUUAUUUAUCUCAAUAUAUUUGUUGUUUUUUUGUCUACUCUUGGGUCUUCUGUCCAGCUAUUUUUAGAGCAAUUUUGUUGCAUUUUAUGUGUAUAUACUGGGUUUAAUGCUUAGAGGUGGAUCAUGUUCUUAGUUGAUAAUGUUAGGCGAUUACAAGUGGUAGUCUGUACACCUUGUGGAUGUUAUAUGGUAUUGUGGCACUUGCAGGCUUGUUUUGUUUUGGAUAUAUCCCUGCUAGUGCAGUGUAAAUACCCCUCUUAACUAUUAAGUUUUUGUGAUUUUCUUAUAAGCUCUUAGUCAUAAUACUUUUUAUUCUUUUGAACUCCUAUAUUAUGCUCAAGUUAUAUCAUAGUGAUACUUGAUUCAAUGCAGAUUUUUGCCACGAGUGCUUUUCCUUGUCCAUAUCUACACAAUCCUUCGGAUACCUAUUUCAGGAUCAUAAACAGGGUUGAAAUGCUAAGGAAACUUUGAAUUUGGCUAAUGUUUAUUUGGUAGAUUAUCUUUCUAAUUAAGAAACUGCAGUGGAAAACUUGAAAAUAUUUGAGGAUUAUCGUCUAGCUUUAGGUGCUUCCUAUGUUUGUAGCAAUCAGAACAUAGCUAUCUUCAGUUUCUUCUUUCCCCUUUUAAUUCUUUGCUAUUUAAUAUACAGGUUAAACCGAAAG